rnacentral:rRNA from 1 species
UGUAAGCGUAUACCAAAGUUGUUGCAGUUAAAACGCUCGUAGUCGGAAUUUGGCAGUUCCGGAUGUGUGCACGUCGUGUGCGCACUUCGCGGGGAUUGCUUUUGUGGUCUUGCGUAGGAUGAGGCACUUUUAUUAGUGAACGUCCUCACGCAACCACUUUUUACUGUGAGAAAAUCAGAGUGCUCAAAGCAGGCAUUUGCCGUGAAUGUAUUAGCAUGGAAUAAUAGAAUAGGACUUGGUUCUAUUUUGUUGGUUUGUUGGGACUGAGUAAUGAUUAAGAGGGACAGUUGGGGGCAUUUGUAUUUCGGUGCUAGAGGUGAAAUUCUUAGAUUACCGAAAUACAAACUGCUGCGAAAGCGUCUGCCAAGGAUGUUUUCAUUGA